rnacentral:rRNA from 1 species
UACGUAGGGUCCGAGCGUUGUCCGGAAUUACUGGGCGUAAAGAGCUCGUAGGUGGUUUGUCGCGUUGUUCGUGAAAACUCACAGCUUAACUGUGGGCGUGCGGGCGAUACGGGCAGACUUGAGUACUGCAGGGGAGACUGGAAUUCCUGGUGUAGCGGUGGAAUGCGCAGAUAUCGGGAGGAACACCAGUGGCGAAGGCGGCAUCCUGGCCUGUAACUGACGCUGAGACGCGAAAGCGUGGGGAGCGAACCGG